rnacentral:rRNA from 1 species
UACGUAGGGUGCGAGCGUUGUCCGGAAUUAUUGGGCGUAAAGAGCUCGUAGGCGGCCUGUCGCGUCGGAUGUGAAAGCCCGGGGCUUAACCCCGGGUCUGCAUUCGAUACGGGCAGGCUGGAGUGUGGUAGGGGAGAUCGGAAUUCCUGGUGUAGCGGUGGAAAUGCGCAGAUAUCAGGAGGAACACCGGUGGCGAAGGCGGGUCUCUGGGCAGUAACUGACGCUGAGGAGCGAAAGCGUGGGGAGCGAACAGG